rnacentral:rRNA from 1 species
GGUAUGUUGACUAUACAAAGGUAUUGAAAUAAGACUUUAAUUGAGUGCUAAGAGAAUGGAAGUACAGAAAAAAGCUUUUUUAAAUUUAAAAUUUAAAGUUAUUUUUAUUUGUGAAGAAACAAUAAUUUAAAUUAGGGACAAGAAGACCCUAAGAAUUUUAUUAAAAUUUUAAUUUAGCUAAUUAAAUUGAAAUUUUUAUUUAAUUGGGGUGAUUAAUUAAUAUUAAAAACUUUUUUAUUUAAAAAUAUGAACCAUUAAUAGCGGUUGUUUGAGAAAAAUACUCUAGGGAUAACAGCGUAAUAAUUUUUGAUAGUUCUUAUAGACAAAAUAGUUUGCGACCUCGAUGUUGGAUUAGGAUAUUUUUUUGAUGAAGAAGUUAAGAAAAAAAGUUUGUUCAACUUUUAAUUUCCU